GACGAACGCUGGCGGCGUGCUUAACACAUGCAAGUCGAACGGAAAGGCCCCUUUGGGGGUACUCGAGUGGCGAACGGGUGCGUAACACGUGAGUAACCUGCCCUUGACUUCGGGAUAACUUCAGGAAACUGGGGCUAAUACCGGAUAGGAAUCCUUGCUGCAUGGUGGGGGUUGGAAAGCUUCGGCGGUUUUGGAUGGACUCGCGGCUUAUCAGCUUGUUGGUGGGGUAGUGGCUUACCAAGGCUUUGACGGGUAGCCGGCCUGGGAGGGCGACCGGCCACAUGGGGACGAAGUUAGGGCCAGAACACUUACGGACGGAAGAGGGGGGGAAAAUGGAAAAUGGGGGGGAGGCCUAAGGCACCAAGGCGGGGUGCGGGGUGACGGCCUCGGGUUGGAAACCGCUUUCAGCAGGGGCGAAGCUUGUGGUGACGGUACCUGCAGAAGAAGCACCGGCUAACUACGUG
rnacentral:rRNA from 1 species